AUGGGUGUCACACCUCAUACAAAUUUAUUGUGUAUUAAAGAUGUGGUAUAGUGUUAGGAAGUGACUCUUAGAUCGUCUCUCAAAUACCAAACCAUGGUUCAAGAAUUAGGUCUAACAAAAAGUGGAGGUUUUGAAGGUGUUUUUGUAUAUGAAAGGAAUCAAAUAAGCAAAUUCAUCACGGAAAUAGAACUUAAAAAUGCAUUAACAGUAAAAUGAAAUGAACCAUAUUGCUGAAUGUAAUUCAAAAUUCAAUAAUAUUUAAAUGAGUCUCAGUGCAAGCUAAAGCUAAAUCAAAGAAA
rnacentral:lncRNA from 1 species